rnacentral:rRNA from 1 species
AGGACGAACGCUGGCGGCGUGCUUAACACAUGCAAGUCGAGCGGAAAGGCCCUUCGGGGUACUCGAGCGGCGAACGGGUGAGUAACACGUGAGCAACCUGCCCCUAGCUCUGGGAUAGCUCCGGGAAACCGGGAUUAAUACCAGAUACGACCACUUUAGACAUCUGUCGUGGUGGAAAGGAUUCCGGCUAGGGAUGGGCUCGCGGCCUAUCAGCUUGUUGGUGGGGUAACGGCCUACCAAGGCGACGACGGGUAGCCGGCCUGAGAGGGCGACCGGCCACACUGGGACUGAGACACGGCCCAGACUCCUACGGGAGGCAGCAGUGGGAAUAUUGCGCAAUGGGCGAAAGCCUGACGCAGCGACGCCGCGUGGGGGAUGAAGGCCUUCGGGUUGUAAACCCUUUCAGCAGGGACGAAGCGAAAGUGACGGUACUGCAGAAGAAGCGCCGCUAACUACGCGCCAGCAGCCGC